AUGGGUAAACUCUGCAACAUGCCA
rnacentral:siRNA from 1 species